CCUACGGGCGGCAGCAGUGGGGGAUAUUGCACAAUGGGGGAAACCCUGAUGCAGCGACGCCGCGUGUGGGAUGACGGUCCUCUGGAUUGUAAACCACUGUCCCCAGGGACGAAAAUGACGGUACCUGGGGAGGAAGCCCCGGCUAACUACGUGCCAGCCGCCGCGGUAAUACGUAGGGGGCGAGCGUUGUCCGGAAUUACUGGGUGUAAAGGGAGCGUAGGCGGGGAUGAAAGUUGGGUGUAAAAACUACCGGCUCAACUGGUAGUCGCACUCAAAACUGCAGCUCUUGAGUGAAGUAGAGGCAGGCGGAAUUCCUAGUGUAGCGGUGAAAUGCGUAGAUAUUAGGAGGAACACCAGUGGCGAAGGCGGCCUGCUGGGCUUUUACUGACGUUGAGGCUCGAAAGUGUGGGGAGCAAACAGGAUUAGAUACCCUUGUAGUC
rnacentral:rRNA from 1 species